rnacentral:piRNA from 1 species
ACAGAGCUCACGGCCGGAUUAACCCA